GUUUCUUCUAUGAAGGCUGCUUUCUGUGAGGGGGUGUUCUGUAGCUAGGGAUUCUUUCAUGAGUUGGCUGCUGAAUGGAUCAGUCUUUAAAUGGGUUGCACUGUGUGAGCAGUGAAUGCAAAGAAUGCACAACUUUUGACUGUCAAAUCCAAAAAAGAAAAUAACCCACAUUGUACCUGUCACUAAGAGGAGAACUCCAUGCUCUGUGUAACCUGGAUGCUGAGCUAUUGGAUCAGUGUCUCUCAAGGAGAGUUCUGAAGCCACACGGUGUCUCCGGGUGCUGGAUUUUGUACUUGGACCUCUGUAUUAAAACUCACGCAGAGUGAUAGCUCCCUACUGGAUAUACAUCUGAAGAGCUGCAAGAGUGCAAGUCAUUCCAGCAAGGAUCUGGUAUAAAUUACACUCUUAAUUGGCUCCAGAUAAGUCUAUUUUGGACUAUGGAACAUGAAGAACUUGUGUGGCGUACUAAAUCUUCCUACUUCUUGCAAAAACCCUGUCUCUGUACAGGGAACUGCCUGUAAAGAGGGAGUCAUAGACAUACAGAUCUAGAAGCUGGCAGAUUUCGCAUGGCAAAAUCCCAUUAGAUCAGAUCUUGCACAGACUGCUAUUAUUCUACGGGGCAUAUAAUUUCUCAACUAUGAGACAUGCAGUGAGACCUAUGAACUGUAUCAGAUGAUUUGUUUAGACAGCAAGAUGUUUUUAAGUGGCAGUGCUUAUCUUCAUUUUGAUAUGUGCAGAUUAGGGAAGAGGUAAUCAUGGUAUAGCUGUUUAGAACUCCAAGUAUGUUUUAAAUAAUUGAUUUCAAUACAUCUAAAGUAACGAUCAGUUAUCUAAAACAUAUAUUUGCAAAAAAUUCAGUGUAACAAAAUAAAUACCAAUAAUUUAAAACAUUUUUUUGGCUUUUAAUGUUGCAGAAUGUGUAUCUGUAACAGUAAUAAAACUUCA
ensembl:lncRNA